AUAAAGGGCAACCGCCUGCGUGUCAAUACGGAGUUCAGGGUGAAACUUUUCCACGGGCGUCCUCCAGUUUGCUUGUUUUCCAGAAAAGCUGAAAGGACUCGCGCAGCCCAGCCAGGAGACGCCAAAUUUUCGUGGAAAUUAGACAACACUCGCAUACUUGUCCUCUGAAGAGGAAUGGCUGCUGAAGUGAAUGGCAGCUCUGCUCCUGCAAAAGAAGAAGAGGAGCCUAUGGACGUUUCGACGACGCACACAGAGAACUACCAGACUCUCAUUGAUGCUGGACUUCCCCAGAAAGUAGCUGAGAGUUUGGACAACAUCUUCCAGACUGGUUUGGUGGCCUAUGCUGAUCUUGAUGAGAGGGCGAUCGAUGCUCUGCGUGAGUUUAACGAAGAGGGAGCUCUGUCUGUACUGCAGCAGUUUAAAGAGAGUGACUUGUCUCAUGUUCAGAAUAAGAGCGCUUUCCUGUGUGGUGUCAUGAAGACCUACAGACAGAGGGAAAAGCAAGGCAGCAAAAUACAGGAAUCCACAAAAGGCCCUGACGAGUCCAAGAUAAAGACUUUGCUGGAGAGGACCGGAUAUACCCUGGAUGUCACUACAGGCCAGAGGAAAUAUGGCGGCCCGCCCCCAGAGGCAGUUUUCUCGGGCACGCAGCCUGGUAUUGGCACCGAGGUGUUCGUGGGGAAAAUUCCUCGGGACUUGUAUGAAGACGAGCUGGUUCCGCUGUUUGAGAAGGCAGGACCCAUAUGGGACCUGAGGUUAAUGAUGGACCCUCUGUCCGGACAGAACCGCGGCUAUGCGUUCAUCACCUUCUGCAGCAAAGACGCUGCACAGGAGGCUGUCAAACUGUGUGAUAAUUAUGAGAUCAGGCCAGGGAAGUAUUUGGGUGUCUGCAUAUCGGUCGCCAACAACCGACUGUUUGUGGGCUCCAUUCCAAAGAACAAGACCAGGGAGAGUAUUUUGGAGGACUUUGGCAAAGUGACAGAGGGUCUACAGGAAGUGAUUCUGUACACGCAAGCCGACGACAAGAAGAAGAACCGAGGUUUCUGCUUUCUAGAGUAUGAGGACCACAAGUCAGCAGCGCAGGCCCGCCGCCGCCUCAUGAGCGGCAAAAUUAAGGUGUGGGGCAAUCCCGUGACUGUGGAGUGGGCCGAUCCGGUCGCUGAGCCUGACCCUGAGGUCAUGGCCAAGGUGAAGGUGCUGUUUGUCCGUAAGCUAGCCACUUCUGUCACAGAGGAGCUGUUGGAGAAGACCUUCUCGCAGUUUGGGAAACUGGAACGUGUUAAGAAACUGAAAGACUAUGCUUUCGUUCACUUUGAGGAGAGGGACGCUGCUGUUAAGGCCAUGGAAGAGAUGAAUGGGAAGGAGCUUGGGGGAGAGGAGAUUGAGAUUGUCCUGGCUAAGCCUCCAGAUAAGAAGAGGAAAGAGCGGCAAGCUGCCCGACAGACCAGCAGAAACACAGGGUAUGAUGAUUAUUACUACUACCCCCCACCUCGCAUGCCACCCCCGGGCCGCGUCCGUGGACGAGGUGGUCGCGGUGGCUAUUCUUACCCACCCGAUUACUACGGCUAUGAAGAAUACUACGAUGACUACUACGGUUACGAUUACCAUGACUACCGUGGUGGUUAUGAUGAUCCCUACUAUGGGUAUGAAGAAGUGUACCCGAUAAGGGGACGUGGCAACCGAGGGAGCCGUGGAGCUCCGCCUCCUCCCAGAGCACGCGGGGUUCCCCCGGCUCGUGGCAGAGGCGGCUAUGUGCCGAGGGGAGGCGCCCCCAUGGGGGCAGGACGAGGAGGACGCGGAGGAGGACGAGGCGGCCCUUUCCAAUCACCCAGGGGUGGACGUGGCACCAGGGGUGCCCGUGGGAAUCGUGGUGGCAACGUGGGUGGAAAGAGAAAGGCAGACGUGUUUAACCAACCGGAUUCAAAACGACGCCAGACGACCAAUCAGCAGAACUGGGGGUCGCAGCCAAUCGCUCAGCAGCCGUUACAGCAAGGGGGCGACUACUCCAGUAACUACUACAGCAACGACACCCUGGAGUUCUCCCAAGAUUCCUACGGGCAGCAGUGGAAGUAGACGACACACACAUCACCCCCCAUGAAAAGGUAUCCGAGCGAGAGAGAGAGCCGUUGCUAGCUUGAGGAACACACCAGAACUGUGUUCUUCUCCAGCAGGGGAUCGUCUCCACCCGCUGUCAAAUAGCUCACUCCAGGAUGACACACAAGUUUUUAAAUAUUAGGAGAAGACUCGCCAACAUGUACCUUCCGCCAAAGUCCAUUAUCCUUGAAACCCCCUGUAUUCAUCAGUCGGGAACUGCUUUUUGGCAGUGGCAAGCACGAAAACUCAGCUGGGUGGUGGAUUUUUAGAGCAAAGCAUUUCCUUGUGGGUCCCAACAUCAUACCUCAGAAGCCCCUGGAUUUUCAGAGACCUCAGGGUGCUCCAAACUUCUCUCCUUGUGUCUCGCAUGUGUGCGCACCUGAUUUUUCCGCUCAUCGGGUUCACCCUGCAGCGCAGAUACAAAGCCCAGAGUGUGGGUGCAAAGUAUCCGCCUUGUUUCGGGUCAAUAUAACACACUUUAAAGAAACCAUGACGUUAAUAUAUUUGCACAACACAUCUCUGAUGCAGUCAAAAAAAAAAUUAUUUUCGAUAAUUUUUGUCACUUUAUCAAUAUACACAAUAUGGCCAAAAAUAUGUGAAGACCUGACCAUCACACCUAUAUGUGGUUCUUCCCUAAACUAUUACCACAAAGUCUGAAGCACACAAUUGUAUAGAAUGUCUCUGUAUGCUGUAGCUUUACAAUUUCCCUUAACUGGAACUCAAACCUGUUCCAGCAUGACGACGCCCCUGUACACAAAGCGAGCUCCAUGAAGACACUGUGUGUUAAGGUUGAAGUGGAAGAACUUCUGCACAGAGCCCUGACCUCAACCCUACUGAACAUCUUUGGGAUGAACUGCACCCCAGGUCUCCUCAGAUAUAAAUCUGGAAUGUGGUGUUCAAAAACCGCAUAUGUGUGCGAUGCUGUAGUGUACAUAAAUAAAGUUACGCUCAGUACCGCGUCAUCAGUAUUGUCAGGAGACAUUCCGAUUAUAUCAUCAUGAAUUUUUUUUUUUAUUUGAUGCCUUGAGCAGAUUGAAGGAUUGCUAUGUGUCUGAAUUUUAUUUUAGUUUUUUAACUGAUAUUCUUUAGUCUUGUGCAAUUCCCACCCCUCAGCUAGAGCUGGGUUGGGCUACGUCCCUCCAAAUUUUCCCUGUUAUCAAAUACUGUAAUUAAAUCACGUCAAACUCAAGGCAUUCGGUUUAUUUGGCCUGCGUGAGGUUUUCACAUUUCCGUGCGAGAGCUCACAUCUCACAGUGCCAAACCGCUGCUUAAAAUCAACGCCUUGUCUGCCGAGCUUCACGCUCGCGUCUAAAAACGAUUCAGCAAAAUGUGACGUUAGGAAUUACUUUUGCUUUGAUGAGGACAUACAAAACAAUAAAGCCUUGAUUGUUUUCAGGAUCAUUUUUAAAGCACAAUCUACCGUCAAACAAUCUUGCCAUGUUCAUAACAUCACUGUAAAUGACCUUAAUAUCAGUUAACAUGUAAAAUUACAUGUUAAUAAUAGGGGGAAGUGACACCUUAUGCCUUUGAGUACUUUUCAUUCACUCUUACCUCCAGUAGGCUGCUUCAUCUGCUUUCACCUCCAUAUUUCUAUCAUAGUGUUUCAAAGUCUCUAUCCCUGAACCGUUAACAACAUCAGUUUGAUACAAGAGACUUAAAGUUAAAAGUCUAAUGACGGUCAUACCCAAGUUCCUGUUAGCACUUUUUUAAUAAUUAGCUUUAUUUGGUUUAGGCAUAUAUGGCCAAUAAAUUAAUUAGUUAGUAAAUCCGUAGGCUAGUAUUGAGCUCCAGGAACACUAUCGCACUGUCCUCUUGGAACAUACGCAGGGCAGUCGUAGCUCAGUGGUUAAAACAGGAAGCUUCAGUUUGGAAGGAUGCAAGUUCAAAUCCCAGCACACCAAUCUGCUGCUGCUGGGCUGUUGAGCAAGGCCAUUAACCCUCAACUUCUCUGUUGUCUAAAGGUAAGUUGCUCUGGAUUAGGGUGUCUGAUAAAUGUCAUAAAUAUGUAAAUCUUCCAUAUGAGAAAAUAAAUGCAAUGUUGUCAGGAUGAAGUUAUUCAGUUUAAACAUAAAAGUAACUUUUUUCAGAGUUGUCUCUGUGGUCUCAAUUAUUUCCAUGCCUGGCCUUCAAGGUUUGAGAUGGUGUUUUCUGACAUAAUGUUGUUCUUUCGGCUUCUCUUGUUAGUGGUGCUCGUUGGUCCACAUAUUUGAUUUGGAACAGGUUUUAUGCUGGAUGCCCUUCCUGAUGCAACCCUCCCAUUUUGUCUGGGUUUGGGACCUGCAUUUCGAGCUACCCCUAGUGGCUAGUUUCUGACAUAUAACAGUGCUGUUAAAUUACUGCUGAUUUUUCAGCAGGUGUGGAUUCAUUUUCUGUUGCUGCUCUCAUAGUAGUGCUGGCUUAUUCCAGAUCACAGGUUUAUAUUUAAUGCACUUGUUCUAAUACCUCAUUGUUUCUGUAGAAACAGCUCGUUCACAGGGACUUGUAUGUCAGACAUGCCAUGUAUUCUAAGAACGAUGAUGCAAUGUGUUCAUUGUAAAUAAAAAAUUUAUAAUAGCU